rnacentral:lncRNA from 1 species
UCUGAGGGUUCCUAGUAGCUUAUCAGGAAUUCAAUAAAUUCAUAUUUCCGGUGUUAUAUGUUAUCAAAAAAUUGAGGCCUGUGUGGUGGUGCACACCUUUAAUCCCAGAACUCAGAAGCAGAGUCAGGGAGCUCUCCAGUGCUCAAGGUUAGCCUGGAACAGGAGGACUACAUAGUAAGACCCUGUCAUUUAAAAAUAAAACAAAACAAACAAACAAACAAAAAAAACAAGACAAAACAAAGCUGGGCAUGGUGGCGCACGCCUUUAAUCCCAGCACUCGGGAGGCCGAGGCAGAGGCAGAGGCAGGCGAAUUUCUGAGUUCGAGGCCAGCCUGGUCUACAAAGUGAGUUCCAGGACAUCCAGGGCUACACAGAGAAACCCUGUCUUGAAAAGAAAAAAAAAAAAAAAAGAUCAUCUGCUUCAGCAUAUGAGUACUAAAGUUGUAAUUAGAUUUUAGCAUGAUUUAUGUAGAGGAGUCUUUUAUAAACGCCUUUAAAUGUGUAGAUUGGAGUUGAUUUAUACAGUUGUGUUGUAUAUAAGAUAUUGCAUGACAGUUUAUGAACUUGUUGCUGUUUUCUCACAAUAUUAACAGUUUUGUAAAUUUUUUCACUAUGCAUUUACAGUGUUCUAUAACAAUAUAUGACUUAAAACUAUUUUAUACAUUUAAAUGUUAUGUUGUAUAUAUCUACAUUAAAGAAUAUUGUAAAUAUCAAUGUUUGUAAAAUUAUAAGUUUUCCAAAAAUAUAAACUCAUUUUUCCAUAUCUACUUGUGGCAUAUUAAAAAUACCAGUUUUUAAGCUUUGACGUAUUAUCUUGUAGUGAAAGAGGAGGAUCAUGCUGUCAAUUCAAUGUAAGCAAAUGUUAAAAAUAAAACAGGUAGUUUUUGAUGUCUUUG